AUGAUGGAGGGCCUGUCGGCGGGCUCCUCCUACUCGGGGCGUUGUUCGUCCUCUCCUUCGGCGGAGCGGCGCCCCCGUUACCAGUUCGGUCUCCAAGAGACUCCGGCGAGUGUCGGUCCUGCGUCUUCCUCCAACGACGGGGCCCUCCCUCCGCAGAAAGGCAAAGACACCAGUAGCGGCCUGGAUUCCACCUUCCUCCCAAGAGGGUUGGAAGAUUCAUACUUUGGAGACAAGAGUUCUUAUGCAGAAAACAUUAGCACAGUGAAUUUAACAAGCCCUUCUUCAACCAGAGCACAAAAUAUUCCUCAGGCCCGGAAAACACCACUAUCAUCUGGUAGGGCAGGAUAUAGAAAUUGGACUCCUUUUAUGGGACAUUCAGUUACAUCAUCUUCAGCAGUCUCUACCCAUAGCGUUGCAUCAGUUAUUGUAGCUGUAAUAGAAGGACGAGGUCUUGCUAGAGGUGAAGUGGGAAUGGCAAGUAUUGACUUAAAAAAUCCCGAAGUUGUGCUAUCUCAGUUUGCAGACAAUACAACCUAUGCCAAGGUAAAUUAGAGUAUUUUUCUUUCUUUAUUCCUUCUUUAAAAUCCUUUAAAAUAAAGAAAAUGUGUGCCU
rnacentral:lncRNA from 11 species